rnacentral:rRNA from 1 species
CCCUUAGACGUUCUGGGCCGCACGCGCGCUACACUGACCAGUGCAACAAGCAUCCGUCCUUGGCCGACAGGCCCGGGCAAUCUUUGAACGCUGGUCGUGAUGGGGAUAGACUUUUGCAAUUUUUGGUCUUCAACGAGGAAUUCCUAGUAAACGCAAGUCAUCAACUUGCAUUGAUUACGUCCCUGCCCUUUGUACACACCGCCCGUCGCACCUACCGAUUGAAUGGUCCGGUGAAGCCUCCGGAUUGGCGCGCACCUCGGUGCCGCCGAGAAGUUGGCUAAACCUCACCAUUUAGAGGAAGGUGAAGUCGUAACA